rnacentral:rRNA from 1 species
AGUAAUGUAUGGGGAUCUGCCUGAUGGCGGGGGAUAACUACUGGAAACGGUAGCUAAUACCGCAUAAUGUCUGCGGACCAAAGCGGGGGACCUCCGGGCCUCGCGCCAUCAGAUGAACCCAUAUGGGAUUAGCUAGUAGGCAAGGUAACGGCUUACCUAGGCGACGAUCCCUAGCUGGUCUGAGAGGAUGAUCAGCCACACUGGGACUGAGACACGGCCCAG